AGCUUGUUUGGUUUGCUGGAAGAAAGUGAAUGUCAUGAAGUCAAGGAGCUUGCAUCUGUUGUCCCUGAAUCGGAUGGACUUGUAAUGUGCUGUGUAUAUAUCCACAUAAGAGAGGCAAUGCUGAUUGAAAUGGAUAGGGAAGGUUUUGGAACCCUUUCUACAAGAAGGAACUGAAAUUGCUGUGCUUUGAUGUGAUUACCGAGGAGUAAUCGAGAUUUUUUUUUUUUUGUUACUUCACCUAAAUAGUAAAACUGUAAAUACCCGUUUUGGAAAGAUCAAAAUAAAACGAGAGUUAACUUCUUGAAUAUACGAUCGAUUGAUCGAUCUUUUAGUCAGACGUACAGUACAUUGUUUUCGUCUUGCACGUACCGGUUGUUAUGAUCUAAUACCACAAAGUGGUGGUUGUAGAAAAUAAAUGAACUUUGUUAC